rnacentral:rRNA from 1 species
CCUACGGGCGGCAGCAGUGGGGAAUAUUGGACAAUGGGGGGAACCCUGAUCCAGCCAUGCCGCGUGUGUGAAGAAGGCCCUCGGGUUGUAAAGCACUUUCAGUGAGGAAGAACGCCUGGUGGUUAAUACCCAUCAGGAAAGACAUCACUCACAGAAGAAGCACCGGCUAACUCCGUGCCAGCAGCCGCGGUAAUACAGAGGGUGCGAGCGUUAAUCGGAAUUACUGGGCGUAAAGCGCGCGUAGGUGGCUUGAUAAGCCGGUUGUGAAAGCCCCGGGCUCAACCUGGGAACAGCAUCCGGAACUGUCAAGCUAGAGUGCAGGAGAGGAAGGUAGAAUUCCCGGUGUAGCGGUGAAAUGCGUAGAGAUCGGGAGGAAUACCAGUGGCGAAGGCGGCCUUCUGGACUGACACUGACACUGAGGUGCGAAAGCGUGGGUAGCAAACAGGAUUAGAUACCCUAGUAGUC